CCGAGCAGCGGGGAAGCAUACCAAAUAAGAUGAGUCAGUGCGCAGAAGAGUCCAAAUGGCGUAGAUAAGCUGAGGGGAAAGGUUGGAGCUGAAGCCCCCUUGAGAGAACUGGGGUUCCUCCAACCGUAGAGCUUACUAGGCGAGGGAGAAGAGUCUCUCAUCUUCACCGUUUUGUUGGAGAUAAGGUGAGGAAACAGCCUCCAGAAAAAAUCUGAAGACAGAAAACUUUACACAGAUGUCUCCAGAGCUGGAAGAAGCAGCCGUAGUUCCAGACUAGGACCGCUGAAACUGAACUUCAUUUUUUUUCCCCGGUCCUCAGGGAAAGGAGGUGGCGGGGAAGAAGCCAACGCGCACCCUGAAGGUGAGCUGGGGACUCUGCACGUCUCCUCUCCCCCCUCAGGGAGCCCUCCUUCGCUUGGCAUGGCUGGAGCAAACUCUCCCCCUUCAGCCAUGGGAGGGAAGCAAAGGGUUGGGUGGCAGCUCUGGAAAAACGAUAAGGAACAGCCAGCAUCCUGAAACAGAUACAUCUUUUGCUUUUCAAAUGCCACUUUUAGGCAGACGAU
rnacentral:lncRNA from 1 species